CGACGAGGUUGAUAGGCUUGAGGUGGAAGUACAGUAAUGUAUGGAGCUGACAAGUACUAAUCGGUCGAGGGCUUAUCCUA
rnacentral:rRNA from 1 species